rnacentral:rRNA from 1 species
UACGUAGGGUGCGAGCGUUGUCCGGAAUCACUGGGCGUAAAGGGCGCGUAGGUGGCGACCCAAGUCGAUGGUGAAAGCUCGUCGCUCAACGACGAGUCGGCCACCGAUACUGGGUUGCUCGAGCACUGUAGAGGCAGAUGGAAUUCCAGGUGUAGCGGUGAAAUGCGUAGAUAUCUGGAGGAACACCGGUGGCGAAGGCGACAUCCUGGACCGGUAUUGACGCUGAGGCGCGAAAGCCAGGGGAGCAAAGCGGG